rnacentral:sRNA from 1 species
CUUGGGCGUCCAGAGCAUGAACCUCCACCUCCCGUUUUCUAGAACCCGACCUUCCUCUUAUCUGGGUCCUGAGCCCUUCCUUGCAAGACUCCUCUGACUGAAGCUAUCUAUCUGAGUGUGAUAUUAAGAAUCUUCCCGCCCAUGUCCUUGGAAAAAAGCUGUUCUCUCUCUUGCCCUCCAUAUAAAGGUCCUAAUCCCACAAGGGAAAAAGAAUAAGGAAGUAUGGCUGGACACUGUGUGAGGGCUCCUUCCUUCCCUGUCAUGGAUUAAACCCUAAUCAUCCAAAGUCAGGAGAAUUGAGAUGAGAAAUAUGCAUCUCCAACUGAGGCACAAAGGUUCCCGGAGGUUAUGUUUCACUGAGGUUUCAAUAGCAGGGUCCCUUCUGGCUAUCUGCUGAAUGAACGUCCUUCAUCAUCUUCCCUCCUUGGAGCUCUUACUCUGAUAGCCCAUCGCAGCUCUUCCAUUAAAUUCAAAAGAGCUGUCUGUCUAAUAUUACCUAGGACGGAGUCCAAAGCUCACCAGGAAAAUGAACAGCAUUCCUUCAACGUCAGCAUGUGUGUAUUAACAUUGACACACCAAGAUGUAUGAAUUCCCCUGAGCUGAGACAGAGCCCUACCAUCAUGGAAUCGUUAGAAACAUGUCUGCCGCUCCGGGUGCUUUCCCAGCCUGGAACAUUGCAUAGUUAUUAAGGAGCUCACCAAGGAUGAAGAAUUGGACAGAUGCUGUGGUUUGGAGGGAGUUUGUUCCCCAAAGGACUCGUGUUGGUCUGCAACAUGACCGUAAUAAAACAUUGUGGAGUCUCUAAGAA